rnacentral:rRNA from 1 species
UACGAAGGGGGGCUAGCGUUGUUCGGAAUUACUGGGCGUAAAGCGCACGUAGGCGGAUAUUUAAGUCAGGGGUGAAAUCCCGGGGCUCAACCCCGGAACUGCCUUUGAUACUGGGUAUCUCGAGUCCGAGAGAGGUGAGUGGAAUUCCGAGUGUAGAGGUGAAAUUCGUAGAUAUUCGGAGGAACACCAGUGGCGAAGGCGACUCACUGGCCCGAUACUGACGCUGAGGCGCGAAAGCGUGGGGAGCAAACAGG